GCCAGGCGCGGUGGCUCACGCCUGUAAUCCCAGCUCUUUGGGAGGCUGAGGCAGGUGGAUCACCUGAGGCCAGGAGUUUGGGACCAGCCUGGCCAACAUGGUGAAACCCUGUCUCUA
rnacentral:SRP_RNA from 1 species